UUAUAAAAGUAUGUAAUCCUGAACACGCCCGAUCUCGUCUGAUCUCGGAAGCUUAGCAGGGUCGGGCCUGUUUAGUACUUGGAUGGGAGACAGCCUGGGAAUACUGGGUGCUGUAGG
rnacentral:rRNA from 1 species